ACACAGUGCUGCUGGGCGUGCAUUUGCAAGGAGCUGGAUUGGAAGUGCAGUAGCCAGGUUUUCAGCUGGUGCCUGAAUGGGAUGGCGGAUAUACACAGAGG